AUUUGGUAUCUGAACUUUAAGUAAAGAAUAUACAUAUAUUCAAACUCAAAUUCGUAAUUUCCAGAAGCAUAUUGAAGAUGAAAAGAUGGUUAAGGAAAAUGGGAUUGAAUAAUAUUAAUUGGUUACCUCCUCCUCAUAUGGUUGCUGCUACACGCGCCGUUCCACGGCGCGUCAAACUCGUCGAUCUUGUUAUUGAAGUUCGUGAUGCGCGUAUACCAUUGUCCUCAGCGAAUGAAGAUUUGCAGCCUGUGCUUUGUGGGAAAAGACGGGUGAUUGCUCUUAAUAAGAAAGAUUUGGCCUACCCCAACAUCAUGCAUAGGUGGAUCCGAUAUUUCAAUUCAUGUAAACAAGAGUGCCUCCCAAUAAAUGCACACAGUAGAAGUUCUGCGCAAAAGCUUCUCGAUCUUGUGGAGCUUAAAUUGAAGGAAGUUAUUACAAGGGAACCUACUCUUUUUGUCAUGGUGGUUGGUGUUCCUAAUGUCGGAAAAUCAGCUUUAAUCAAUUCCAUCCAUCAAAUUGCAUUGUCUCGAUUUCCGGUGCAGGAGAAGAUGAAGAGGGCUACAGUGGGGCCUUUGCCUGGUGUUACUCAAGAUAUUGCUGGAUAUAAGAUUGCACAUCAACCUAGCAUAUAUGUGUUGGACACUCCAGGAGUGUUGGCUCCAAGUAUUCCAGACAUGGAAACAGGGUUAAAGCUGGCUCUAGCAGGGUCCAUCAAAGAUUCAGUAGUUGGUGAAGAGCGAAUUGUUCAAUACCUGUUGGCAGUUCUAAACACUCGAGGAACUCCUCUUCAUUGGAGAAACUUGAUUGGUAGGGAAUCUGAGGGCCUUCAUUAUGAGUUGGAUGACAAACCUGAAUAUAAUCUCAAGGAUCUUCUACCAAAAAGAAGGAAGCCGCCCAACAAAUCUGAUAUCUACUACAUAGAGGAUAUGGUCAGCGAAAUCCAACGCACGCUAUGCACCACACUCUCGGAGUUCGUUGGUAACUUGGAAGAUGAAGGUCAGUUGGAGACUUUGAUAGAUCAGCAGUUUGAAGCAUUGCAGACGGCUCUGAAGAUACCUUAUAAGGCAUUGGAGGCUCGCACGAUGGUGUCAAAAAAAUUUCUAACUCUAUUUAGAACAGACAAACUUGGUCCUUUCAUCCUGGAUGAUGUCCCUGAUGCAUCUGAUCCUGCAUCUUGAAACACCAUUUGAAAGAGAAAUUCCCGAGGACCAUAGGUGCACAAUUCAAAUUCGGUGGAUAAUGAGCCUGCCUUCUACCUUUCUCAAUUAAAUAUAAGGCUUUUGGCUAUGACACGAUUUGGAUCCGUGACGUGUGCCUAAAUCACAUAUCACGUGCUACGCUCCUAUUACUAGUCUGAUGCCUUAGGGUAGAUUGCUAUUAUUUAGUCAUGCAGAUGCAAUAUGUGAGUUGGAGACUUUGAUAGAUCAGCAGUUUGAAGCAUUGCAGACAGCUCUGAAGAUAUCUUGUAAGACAUCAGAGGCUCACAAGAUGGUGUCGAAAAAAUUCCUAACUCUAGUUAGAACAGGCAAACUUGGUCCUUUCAUCCUGGAUGAUGUUCCUGAUGCAUCUAAUUCUGCAUCUUGAAACACCAUUUGAAAGGUAUCAUCAAUGUUAAUAUGAUAAUUUUGUACCAUAGUUUUCUUGAAUAUUUCACCCCUUAUCAACACCAGCUUAGGUUUAUUAAUGUAGUAGUACUAGUUUGGAAGUUCUCUUUAAUAGACAUGUCUACACUAUUUUCCAUGAAUUA